CGACGUAGGGGGCGAGCGUUGUUCGGAAUUACUGGGCGUAAAGCGCGCGUAGGUGGUCUGUUAUGUCAGAUGUGAAAGUCCACGGCUCAACCGUGGAAGUGCAUUUGAAACUGGCAGACUUGAGUACUGGAGGGGGUAGUGGAAUUCCCGGUGUAGAGGUGAAAUUCGUAGAUAUCGGGAGGAAUACCGGUGGCGAAGGCGACUACCUGGCCAGAUACUGACACUGAGGUGCGAAAGCGUGGGGAGCGAACAGGAUUAGAAACCCGAGUAGUCC
rnacentral:rRNA from 1 species